GACGAACGCUGGCGGCGUGCUUAACACAUGCAAGUCGAGCGGAAAGGCCACUUCGGUGGUACUCGAGCGGCGAACGGGUGAGUAACACGUGAGUAAUCUGCCCUUCACUCUGGGAUAGCCACCGGAAACGGUGAUUAAUAUCGGAUACGACCAUUCCCCGCAUGGGGUGGUGGUGGAAACUUUUUUGGGUGGGGGAUGUGCUCGCGGCCUAUCAGCUUGUUGGUGGGGUAAUGGCCUACCAAGGCUUCGACGGGUAGCCGGUCUGAGAGGGUGGCCGGCCACACUGGGACUGAGAAACGGCCCAGGCUCCUACGGGAGGCAGCAGUGGGGAAUAUUGGACAAUGGGCGGAAGCCUGAUCCAGCAACGCCGCGUGAGGGAUGACGGCCUUCGGGUUGUAAACCUCUUACAGCACCGACGAAGCGCAAGUGACGGUAGGUGCAGAAGAAGGACCGGCCAACUACGUGCCAGCCGCCGCGGUAAGAC
rnacentral:rRNA from 1 species